UACAGAGGGUGCAAGCGUUGUUCGGAAUUACUGGGCGUAAAGAGCUCGUAGGUGGUUUGUCGCGUUGUUCGUGAAAUCUCACGGCUUAACUGUGAGCGUGCGGGCGAUACGGGCAGACUGGAGUACUGCAGGGGAGACUGGAAUUCCUGGUGUAGCGGUGGAAUGCGCAGAUAUCAGGAGGAACACCGGUGGCGAAGGCGGGUCUCUGGGCAGUAACUGACGCUGAGGAGCGAAAGCGUGGGGGAGCGAACAGG
rnacentral:rRNA from 1 species